UCUCUGGUGGUCCAGUGGUUAGGACUCAGUACUUUCACUGCUGUGGCCCGGGUCCAAUUCCUGGUCAGGGAA
rnacentral:tRNA from 1 species